GGGCUUCACCUGCGGCAUAUGGAGGUUCCCAGGCUAGGGGUCAAAUCGGAGCUGCAGUGGCUGGCCUAAACCACAGCCACAGCAACACAGGAUCCCUCCACCCUCUAAACAAGACUAGGAAUCGAGCCUGCCUCCCCAUGGAUACUAGUCAGAUUUGUUUCUGCUAUACCGCAAUGGGAACUUGGCGGGUGGCAGGAAGCAGUGGGAACCCUGAAGUUCCAAAUUGAUCCUUGAGUGGGAGAGGAAGGAGCCUACUGACAGAGCAGCAAGAUGGAAAUCCCAGGGUGUCCAGCACCUGUGGGGAAGGCGUGGGGGUGGGAGAGCCCAGAGCCUCAGUUGUAGGCUUUGGACACUGUUUCCAAAAAUGUAACAGUGAAGAAUGGGAGACAUGAGCCACUCCUCAUGACUUCAGGGCCAUUAGUGGUCCCAGUCCAUUCCCACAGAGCUAUCAUGGGGUGGUGGUGGCGAGGAUUAAAAAUCCUGAGGAUGGGUCCCAGCCCCCGGGAUUCUGCCUUCAUUGGUUGGGUAUGGCUUGGGGCUGUCAGUGCUCCUAGGAGAUGCUGGGGGGGGGGGGGGGGGCAGUGGCAAAUCCCUGUCUCAGAGACCUCCUGUGUUGGCAUUUCUCCCCCUUAAAAAACAUUACACAAGGACUCUCAGGAGUUGUAGACAGGACAUGGAACUAUCAACCAAGCACCAGAGCUCUCCCCAGGUCUGGGUGAGGAGAGCUGGCCUAAGGGUCCUUGUGUGUGUGUAUUCAGUGUAUAUUUGAAUUUAGGGAUAAUUUACACAUAGUAGAAUUGAGCCUUUGCAGUUUAUGGUUUUAUGACAGUUUUGACAGAGGCACAUGAUUGUGUAACCAUCAACCACAAUCAAGACAUGGAAUAGUUCCAUCACCACAAAAGAGUCUAGAGAGAUGCCAGUGGCCUGACUGGGGGUAGAGGUUCAAAUGCUAAUCCUCCCAGCUCUCUGUCCUCUCAAAGGAGCCUGUCUCCCGUACUUUCUCCUAUUUCUGGCCCAGCAACUUUCCUAAUUGUUGGAGGCAAUAAUUCCCCCCCCCCAAACCAGCUCCGCCUUAUUAGAGCCUCUGUUGAAAAAGGCAGGUUUGCUCAAGCCACUUUUCUUGCUUCUCCUGAGACCAAUUUUCUCAACCAGUACAGCACCAACAGUCAAUACCUCCUACGAUAGCUAAGGUGACUUCUGAUGGGAGGAAAGAAUUCACCUGUUCCCCAAAGCCUCAUACAGCUGUUCCAGCUCCUGAGACAUGAUUUAAUUGGUCUGGAGGUCACAGGAUUCUCUUCCAAUUAGGGUCCCAUCCCAGCAGCUACCAUAUGCAUUAGGAACAGUCCAGACCGGGCUUUGGAGGACAGCCAUUGUCUGCCCUUCAAAGCAGCAUCAGCUCCUUAGCAGCUGCCUGGUUUCUUUCUAAAGGCAGACUUCCCUGGAGGAUGGAGCUCAUUGGUACCCCCAAGUCAAUUCUUUGGGAAUCAAGACGCAAUGAACAGAAUGAGAAUUUCUGACUCUGUCCCUCUGCCUUUUCCAGAGCAGCCAUGGUAAGGUCAUAUUGGGGUUUCUAAGGCAGGGAGGGGCCUUCGUGACCUUAUCUUUCCGAUUUUGUGCAAGGAGAACUGCCUGCCUGGGAGCCCAUCAGCAUGUCAGCCCCAUGACUCCUUCCCCUGUGAUGGUCACACCACAUGAACUCCGACCUCAGUGUCCAGGCUGGGACAAGUGUCCAGGCCCAGUGACAAGCCGAGUGGCGGGAACAUGAUGAACUGGGAGCAGUGCCUGUGUGGAAGUGUAUUUAACAAAAUGAUCCCAUGUAGGAAGGACUUGUGAACAUAUGGAGAGGCCAGGAUGGGACUUCGGCUACAUGGUGAAGUCAACAGAACUCCAGCUCCAAUAAUUCCUCCUCCACAAAUCACUCCUUGUAAAAUCCAAAAUUCUGUCUGCUGUGCUCCCGGGCCCCUUAUGACCAUACCCACCUGGGCCUCGGAAGGACUAGUUCAGGCUAAGCCUCCCAGACAGACCAGGGCUGGGGACCUGCAAAGGGAGCUGAGUGGCUUGUGCGGACCCCAACUCCACUCCUAACAAACUUGUUUCAUCUUGCUUUUUUUUGUGUGUGGCUAUGUUUCAUUUUUUAAAAGGGUAUUCUUUGAAGAGGAGUUUUAGGAUCAUAGCUAAAUUGAGGGGGAAAGUACAGCGAUUUCCCAUCUACUCCCUGCCCAUGCACUGCCUCCCCCUUUAUCAACCUCCCCCACCAAAGUGUCCAUUUAUUCCAACCGAUGAACCUGUGUUGACACAUCACAGUCACCAAAGGUCCACAGUUUACAUGAGGGCUCACUCCUGGUGGUGUACAUUAUUCGAGUCUGGACAAAGGUCUAAUGACAUGUAUCCACCAUUGUGGCAUCACACAGAGUACUUCCUCUGUGCUCCACCCAUUCACCCUACCAGCCCCCACACCCCUACCAACUCCUGGAAACCACUGGUCUUAUUAUUAUCUCCACAGUUUUGCUCUUCCAAAAGGUGAAAUAGUUGGAACCCUGAGGUAUGUAAAAUUGCCUACGGUGUGUAGCCUUUUCAAAUGGGCUUCUUUCACUUAGCAUAUGCACUUAGGCUUCCUCCACAUAUUUUAUAGCUUGGUAGCUCAUUCCUUUGUAAGUUCUGAAUAAUGCUCCAUUGUCUGGAUGUACCAAAGUUUAUUCAUCCAUUAGUUAUCCAUUCACCUCCUGAAGGACAUCUUGGUUGCUUCUAAGUUUUAGCAGUUAUGAUUAAAGCUGCUAUAAACACUGGGUGCAGGUUUUGGUGUGCACGUAACAUACUUGUUUUUCAUCAGAGCAGGAAGAGGGAGGCACUGCACCUCUCCUGCCCUACCCGAGCCCUUCUGAGACCUUCCAUGGCAGAGUUCCUGGUCACCGCAGUCACCACGGACCACUGCUUGCAGAAGAAAACUGUGUGUGCUCUCAUCAGCCUGGGGCUGCCUAAUCACCUCCUGAUUUAGAGAAUCCUUAAGUCAAAACAAGGAAUACUAGCUGAAAUCACUGUGUUGUUUGUCCACAUUUGCUUGUAAGACGGGCAGCACCCACACCCGGUGACCACCAAGCCCCCUGGGUUUCCCUGGUCUCUGCUGCUCUGCCCCCUGUAAAGCUUACCCCACCCAAACUCUGCACACCCUUCAACUGCUCAGACAACACCAAGCUGUUCCUGCGUGCCCCACCUGGAAGCAGUGCCUCCUCGCCUCACCCCCUUUCUAAUCAUCUAAGAACUGGUUAAAGACAGCAGCGAGAUUUCCCAUAUACCCCUCACCCAGGGUCCCCUGGGUUAAUAUCCCACGUUACUGUGGUGCAUUUGCCAAAACUAAGAAACCUACCUUGGUCCACAAUGAUGCACUAAACUUCACACUUCAUUCAGAUGUCCUUGAUUUUCCCUCAAGUCCUUUUUCUGUCCCAGAAUCCCCUCUAGGAUGCACAUUACCUUCAGCUGUCACUUCUCCUUAGGUGCCCCUGAUCUGUGACAGCUCCUCGACCUUUCCUUGUUUUUCAUGUUCCUGACACGUUGGAGGACUGCUGGUGAGGUAUUUUGUGCAGUGCCUCCGUUUGGGUCUGUCUGAUGCUUUUUCUCAUGCUUAGGAAGGGGAUGGGUUUCUGGGAGGAAGAGCAUAGAGGGGAAGUGCCCCCAUCCUCAUCAUUACCCCUUGCUCUUUAGUACUUACUGCCACAUUCUCCUAGCCUCUCUUCCUGCUUCUUGGGUUCCAUCUGUCCUCUACAGAGCGUGUCACAAGAAGUACCCAUCUUCUUAUACACAUGCCUGAGUGCAUGCCAUGUGCCAGGCAUCAUGCCAUCCCUGAGGGUCCUAAGAUACCACCAGAGGAUGAUUACAGUACCAAAUGCCUUUUCCUGGGUCCUUGGGUCUUGGUGACCUAAGAGAUUCAAGGACCAGGGAAGGUGUCCCACUACAUGGCGAGGUCUCGGGUCUCUCUGGCUCCUUCUGGCUCUGCUGGGUGCUGGUGGCAUCUGUUGGUGGGGUGCUUUCUGCAUACAUGUUGGGUAUGGCCCACAUGAGGUGAAUUCUGCCUCAACUUGGCCCCCUUUGUCACUGAGGAUGUCCUCAGAGAGGGUCAGCUUGGCUUCCUCUCCAAGGGGGAGUAAGAGCACCUCUUCCAUCUCCCACUGCAAAUGUGGGGUUCAGGUAGUUGGAUGAGGCAGGUGUGGGUCAGGAGGCAGUGGCUGGACUGGGUACAUCUCUUUUGUGCCCUGGGAAGAAAAGACAUCUGUCGUCUGCUAUGCCUCUUCCCUAUGUAUAACUCCAAAUAAAAAUCAUAAAGCACAAAAUUUAUAUGCAAGCUGAAAUUAUACUAACUUCUUAAUUAUCUGGUUGCCAUGGUUCUGCAUAGGUUUGUUGAAAGUAAAUUUCUCUCCUUCCCUCUAAUUUGCCUCCCUGCCUUGAAGCCCCGCUUGGGUGGGAGGUCCCCUUCAUUUCUCAGCGAUUUCCUAGCACCUCGACUCCCAGCUAUGCUCUCAUUCUCUGGCUCCUCCACAUGCCCACAGAGCCCCAUCCACCAGGUUGAGACCAGUUGUUUUUCAAAAGCCAAUUUUGUAAGAGGGCUUGGAUGGAUUCCCUUCUGAGAGCAAAGAGCAGUGCUCAGCUCCCUGCCUCCCUCACACCCAGGGUUCCUCAGCUGCAAAUGCUUCAACAAAGUCAUGCUGAGAAGCCAUAAGGAUGGCACAGUCCAUCAAGGAAACCGAGCGGCAUUCUGAACCAGCCAGAGGCCACAGUCAGCCCACAGCAUCACUUCAGCCGUGAUUCUCCUUCAUUCACACCCUCAACCACAGGGGGCAGGAGCCACUACUGCCCACUCCAGAGCCCACUGGGCACAUCUCUUCCCAACUUUAAUCAGUCACUUCAUGUCAAUAGCUUGAAAUGCACUGUGGUGGGAGUGAUUACACUACAGCCAUCAUCAAACGCUACAACCCAGGUCUCCUGCUCUGCUCAGAGCUGGGGAUCAGUUAACCAUAAACCAGCCUGCUCCCGCCUUGGGGCCAGGUUUCCUAUAGCAACAAAUCAGCACACAACCCUCUCCAAAAAGCCAGCCCACAGGAGCUCCUUUUCCUCAAAUGCUCCACAGAAACCCCCUCUUUCCGCAGAUUCUGUAACUCCAUGGUCAGACCUCCAGUGACCUCCUUCCUAGCUGCACAUUCUUGGGCAUGUCUCUGGUCUUCCCUGGCCCUGCAGUCCCCUAUGCAUGAAACAGGGACAGUAUGGUCUACCCCAACGGCAGGUGGCAUCUUAUCAGGCUUUCGAAUAGGCCUCUGCUGCUGUAAUAAGUGACCUCCUGGCACUGCUGAGUUGAUGCCUCUCUCCUGUGGAGGGAGAAGGUUCUCCUCUUUCCCACCACCAGCUCCCCAGAGAGGACUCCACAUCUGCAGGAUGAAAGUCUACUUCAUCCCUAAGGCCUACACUGGAAGCCACUUCCUUCAGGCAGCCUUCUAAGAUUCCCCAGGUUGGAAUUCAUCCCUUUCCCCACAGCUCUUCGUUCCUCCAUUUCUGCGUUUACUGCCAUGUGCUUUGCCUUGGAUAGAUCUGCCUACGAGCCCUCCGUCAGGAGGGUCAUCAGGUUUGAUCCUCACUGUGACCAUGCAAGUACCUAAGAUGCAGUCACCUUGACGUUCCCAUACUUCAGUGAGCAGGAAAGUUACUCACAGAGCUGGCUAGUCUUGUAGAUGCCCAGACCAUGGCCAGAGAUUCUGAUUCAUCAGGUCUUUGGUGGGGCCCAGAAAUCUGUAUGCUUAACAAAUAUCCCAGGGAUUUCAGAGGCACGUGGUGUGUAGACAACACUUAGACCAGGACUGCACCAUGGAAAAGCCCAUGAGCUGAACACAGGAGGGCUUUGAGACUUUGGGGUUAGGGAGAGGGGGGAGGCACUUGUCCAAGAUCACACAGCCAGAGAGUGAUAAAGCCAGGAUUCAGAACCAGCUCCAGACAGAGGUGCACCUACUCUGUACGUAUUCUUUGGGGAAGAGAACACACUGUGUGGGCCAUUUGCACAGCUCCAAACUCUAAGGUUAUACUGCUGGCCAUUAUGAUAGCUGUUCCUGUAAAGGAGCUAAACAUAUGAACACACACAUACACACCUUUAAACAGCUGUUUCUCACUCUGUCCCAGCAGACGGCCCUCCUCCUACUCAAUCAUGCUCCUCUGCUGCACUGGGAAGGUGUCAGAUAAAUUGCCAGAUGUUGCCGGCAUCACCUUUGAUGAAGCAUCAGGCCCCCAACACUGAGAAAUACAGACAUCUCAAGGUCCAAGUCUGCUUUCCCCCUUCCCAAGUCCCCAGUGAGGUGGCUUUGAUGAGGUCCUAGGAGGGGCCAGAUGUGGAAAUAAGGGAAGACCACCCAAAUGAGAACAGGCAAAGACCAUCUAUUCAGAGCUUGCUGCGUGGUGAGGGACUCGGCGCCAACGCUUGUCCUGGGCAGAGACUCACGGGCGGGCAGAGGAGCAGGAAAGCUCUGCAGGGGAGAAAGGGAAGGUCUCAGGUGUGCCCUGGCUGGAGGCGUGGGCAGGGGCAGCUGCCGGUUGGGAACUGGAAGCAGAGCAUCCUAAGGGAUUGGUAAGGGGACGCUGGCAGUUAUCAACUACAG
rnacentral:lncRNA from 1 species